rnacentral:rRNA from 1 species
GAUGAACGCUGGCGGCGUGCCUAAUACAUGCAAGUCGAGCGAACAGACGAGGAGCUUGCUCCUCUGACGUUAGCGGCGGACGGGUGAGUAACACGUGGAUAACCUACCUAUAAGACUGGGAUAACUUCGGGAAACCGGAGCUAAUACCGGAUAAUAUAUUGAACCGCAUGGUUCAAUAGUGAAAGACGGUUUUGCUGUCACUUAUAGGUGGAUCCGCGCCGCAUUAGCUAGUUGGUAAGGUAACGGCUUACCAAGGCGACGAUGCGUAGCCGACCUGAGAGGGUGAUCGGCCACACUGGAACUGAGACACGGUCCAGACUCCUACGGGAGGCAGCAGUAGGGAAUCUUCCGCAAUGGGCGAAAGCCUGACGGAGCAACGCCGCGUGAGUGAUGAAGGUCAUCGGAUCGUAAAACUCUGUUAUUAGGGAAGAACAAAUGUGUAAGUAACUAUGCACGUCUUGACGGUACCUAAUCAGAAAGCCACGGCUAACUACGUG